rnacentral:tRNA from 1 species
UCCCUGUUAGCUCAGCUUGUAAAGUAUCUGCCUGUAAUGCAGGAGACCCCGGUUCCAUUCCUGGGUCGGGAA